rnacentral:rRNA from 1 species
AUUGAACGCUGGCGGCAUGCCUAACACAUGCAAGUCGAACGAGUGGCGGACGGGUGAGUAAUGUCUGGGACACUGCCCGAUGGAGGGGGAUAACUACUGGAAACGGUAGCUAAUACCGCCUACCAUCGGAUGUGCCCUGAUGGGAUUAGCUAGUAGGUGGGGUAACGGCUCACCUAGGCGACGAUCCCUAGCUGGUCUGAGAGGAUGACCGGCCACACUGGAACUGAGACACGGUCCAGACUCCUACGGGAGGCAGCAGUGGGGAAUAUUGCACAAUGGGCGAAAGCCUGAUGCAGCCAGGCCGCGUGAAUGAAGAAGGCCGUCGGGUGGUAAAGUACUUUCAGCGAGGAGGCGUUACUCGCAGAAGAAGCACCGGCUAACUCCGUGCCAGCAGCCGCGGUAAUUC